GUGGCUGCUACGUCAGUAUGUCAGUAGCCAUGACAGAGGGGAGAGAGGCCAUGUCUAUGCUUAGAAUUCUGAGCAAGGAAUAUAUGAAUGAUUAGUAGCCUAACAUU
rnacentral:snoRNA from 1 species